AAUAAUUUGAUUACUGUGUUUCAGUAUAAUUGUUUUCAUUCAUAAUCCUAUGCAUAUCGUAUGCAUUUAAAAACAUAAUUCUGAAAGGGGGCUUUGUAUGCUUCAUGACUGCCAAAGGGAUCCAUGGCACAAAAAAAAAGGUUAAGAAUGUCUAGUAAGGAUUCUGGUAUUGUGAUUAAGAACAUGCAGUCUUUUUUUUUUUUUUUUUUUUAAAGUUACACAUACAUUUUGUGUCUCGGAUUCUUCAUGAAUGAAAUGGAAAUAAUAAUACUUACCUAAAAGGCAUGCAGUGAAGAUGAAGAAAUAGCUGUAAAAGGUUUAACACAAUGCCAAGCAUAUAGUAUGCCAUUUAUCUCCAUCCACAUUGUCCAGAUUCAUUCAAGUCCUACUUACAUUUACUCUGCAUACAGAUUUUUGUUUUACCAUGCUGUCACUGGCUAAACUUAAAAUUACAUUACAAAAUGUUGGCUAGUUUCAAAUGAAAUUCAUAAAAUACAUGUGUGAUAUAAGGAAAAUUGAUACAACAAAGAUCCAUAUGCCCUCCAUCCAGGUUAAAGGGAAGUUAUUUUUAAAAGAAUGAACACAUAAUUUAGUAUCAAAACUAGGACCUUCUGAGAGUGAAAGAGGGUGCUCUUAGUUAUUACACUAGGAAAAUAGGCAAACAAGGACUAUUCUGACUAAACCAACAUGUAUAGUCACAUGUUGUAUGUUCCUUGUAUGCCCUUGCCUAAUCCAUUCCCUUCCUUCUGCAGCUAAAGAUCACUAUCUUGAUUUUUUGGUUAUCAUUCUUUUACUUUAUAGACUUAUUUCAUGUUUGUACUCAAAAUACUGUUUACUUUUAUUGGUUCUUUAAUUUGUAAACGUGGAAUCCUACUGUACUCCUCUUUUAUGAAUUGUUAUUUUGCACAACAUUGUUAGUGAUUCAUCCAUGUCCAUGGAUUUGUGAUUCAUUUUCCCUACGUUGUAGUACUGUACACAAUACAUUUAACCACUCUACUGUUGAUACACAGUUGGUUUAUUUCCAAUUUUUAUUGUUAUAAGCAAUUGUUAGGAAUUUUCUUGCUUAUAUAUCCUGAUACACAUUUCUCCUGGGCCAUAAAAGCAUCUUCAGGUUUCCUAGAUAAGAUCAAAUUAUUUUCCAAAUUGAUACAUCAAUUUAUACUUCAACCAUAAUGUAUAAUUGUUCUGGUGAUAUUGUCAAACUUUAAAAUUUUUCGUUAUGUGAUAGAUAUGAAAUGAUAUUUCCUUGUGGUUGAGCAUCUCUUCAGGUUUCCUUCCUCCUUUAUGAAUUGCCUAUUUAGAGUAUGGUAGUGAAGAACUUUAUUAAAAAAUUAAAUUGUAGUAAUUCUUUACAUAAUUUGAAUAUUAAUCCCUUUGCCAGUAAUAUGGGUUGUAAAGAUCUCCCAGUUUGUGUUUUGUCUUUUACUCUCCUUAUUAUGCCUUUUUUUUUUACUUUUUAUUAUGGAAAAUUUUAAACAUAAAUAAAAGUAUGCAGAGUAGAAUAAUGAGCUUCCAUUUACCUAUCACUUAGCUUCAACAAUUAUCCACUCAUAACCAAUUCUGCUUCAUUUAUAUAGUACUUUUCCCACCUCUUAAUAUUUUGAAGUAUAUUCCAGACAUUAUAUCAUUACAUAUCUAAAUAUUUCAGUAUAUAUCUAUAAAAAAUAGAUAUAUUUAUUAAUUUUUUGGUCUUUUUUUAGGGCUGCACCUGUGGCAUAUGGAGGCUCCCAGGGUAGGGGUCAAAACGAGCUACAGCUGCCGGCCUACACCACAGCCACAGGAAUGCUAGAUCUGAGCCACCUCUGUGACCUAUACCACAGCUCACUGCAAUGCUGGAUCCUUAAUCCACUGAGUGACGCCAGGGAUCUAAUCUGCGUCCUCAUGGAUCCUAGUCAGAUUUGUUUCUGCUGAGCCAUGAGCCACGAUGGGAACUCCUAAAAAACAGAUAUCUUUAAAGAUUGCUCAUAACACAAAAAUAAUUUAUACAAGUUCCUAAUAUCAAUAAAUAUUCAGUAAGUAUCCAAAUUUCCAAUGAUCUUAAGUGUGCUUGUGUUUUAAAGUUUGUUUGAAUCACGAUUUAGAACAAGUCUUGUGGUAGCAGGGCUCCCAAAUGAUACCCAAUGAUUUCUAUGCCCUGGUCCUUACAUCCUUGUAUAAUCUCUUCACAUGAUUUUGGUUGGUAUGUGAUCAACCUCUUGAUCACGUAUCUGUGUAAUGAGAGAUCAAAAAAGACAUAAAAGCCAUGGUGGCUUUUGUCUUUCUUUCUCUUAGAUUACUCGCCAGGCAGCUCUGUGGAGAGGCAUAUAUGGUGAGAAACUGAGGUAUCCUGCCAGUGAGAGUAAGCCAUCUUGGGAGUGGAUUCUCUAGCACAGAUUAAGCCACUAAAUGAUGGCAUCCUAGCUGACAGCUUGACUUCUACUUUACAGAGACCCUGAGCCAGACCACUCAGCUAAGCUACCCCUGGAUUUCUAACCCUCAGAUACUGAAUGAGAUAGAUAUGUUUGUUGCUUUAAAAAUUAUGUUUUGGGGAGUUCCUGUUGUGGUGCAGCAGAAUCUAAUCCGACUAGGAACCAUGAAGUUGUGGGUUCGAUCCGUGGACUCACUCAGUGGGUUAAGGAUUCAGUGUUGCCGUGAGCUGUGGCAUAGGUCGUAGACGUGGCUUGGAUCUGGCAUUGAUGUGGCUCUGGUGUAGGCUGGCAGCUAUAGCUCUGAUUGGACCCCUAGCCCGGGAAACUCCAUAUGCCGCGAGUGCAGCCCUAAAAAGACAAAAAAAAAAAAAAAAAAAA
rnacentral:lncRNA from 9 species